GACGAACGCUGGCGGCGUGCCUAAUACAUGCAAGUCGUACGCAACUUUCACACCGGAGCUUGCUCCAUCGUGAAAGUUGAGUGGCGAACGGGUGAGUAACACGUGGGUAACCUACCCAUCAGAAGGGGAUAACACUUGGAAACAGGUGCUAAUACCGUAUAAUAGUUUGAUCCGCAUGGAUCGGAUUUGAAAGGCGCUUUUGCGUCACUGGUGGAUGGACCCGCGGCGUAUUAGCUAGUUGGUGAGGUAAUGGCUCACCAAGGCGACGAUACGUAGCCGAGCUGAGAGGGUGAUCGGCCACAUGGGGACUGAGACACGGCCCAAACUCCGACGGGAGGCAGCAGUAGGGAAUCUUGCGCAAUGCGCGAAAGCGUGACGCAGCAACGCCGCGUGGGGGAAGAAGGCCUUCGGGUUGUAAACCCCUUUCAGGAGGGACGGAGCGUGGGCGGUUAAUAGCCGGCCCACGUGACGGUACCUCCAGAAGAAGCCCCGGCUAACUACGUGCCAGCCGCCGCCGUAACAC
rnacentral:rRNA from 1 species